rnacentral:rRNA from 1 species
CACGUAGGGCGCAAGCGUUGUCCGGAAUUAUUGGGCGUAAAGAGCUCGUAGGCGGUCUGUUACGUCUGCUGUGAAAACCCGGGGCUUAACCCUGGGCUUGCAGUGGAUACGGGCAGACUAGAGGUCAGGUAGGGGAGAAUGGAAUUCCCGGUGUGAGCGGGUGAAAAUGCGCAGAUAUCGGGAGGAACACCGGUGGCGAAGGCGGUUCUCUGGGCCUGACCCUGACGCUGAGGCGCGAAAGCGUGGGGACGCGAAACAGGAUUGAGAAA